rnacentral:misc_RNA from 1 species
UUUCCGUAGGUGAACCUGCGGAAGGAUCAUUAUUGGAUUUUGAAACUUCAGGCUGCUGCUGGCUCUCCUCGGAGGGCAUGUGCACGCUUGUUGUCCAUUAUUUCUCCCACUGUGCACAAAUUGUAGACCUUUCAGUAGGCCUAUGUUGUUUUUCACAAUCUCUGAAUGUAAUAGAAUGGUUUUGAAUCUUGGGAAAUACAAUACAACUUUCAGCAACGGAUCUCUUGGCUCUC